rnacentral:rRNA from 1 species
UACGUAGGGUGCGAGCGUUGUCCGGAAUUACUGGGCGUAAAGAGCUCGUAGGUGGUUUGUCACGUUGUCCGUGAAAACUCACAGCUUAACUGUGGGCGUGCGGGCGAUACGGGCAGACUGGAGUACUGUAGGGGAGACUGGAAUUCCUGGUGUAGCGGUGGAAUGCGCAGAUAUCAGGAGGAACACCGGUGGCGAAGGCGGAUCUCUGGGCCGAUACUGACGCUGAGGAGCGAAAGCGUGGGGAGCGAACAGG